GAUGAAGAACGCAGCGAAAUGCGAUAAGUAAUGUGAAUUGCAGAAUUCAGUGAAUCAUCGAAUCUUUGAACGCAACUUGCGCCCUCUGUUAUUCCGGAGGGCAUGCCUGUUUGAGUGUCAUGUAGACUCAAUCCCUCGGGUUUCUGAGGAGGUUGGAUUUGGGUGCUUGCCUUCUGGCUCGCCUUAAAGGACUUAGCAGGAUAGCACUGUAGUCGACGUAAUAAGUCUCGUCGGUGAAAGUGUGAUGUCUGCUUACAGAUUGCCCUUGGGCACUUUUGACUCUGACCUCAAAUCAGGUAGGACUACCCGCUGAACUUAAGCAUAUCAAUAAGCGAGGA
rnacentral:misc_RNA from 1 species